CAGUCGCCACGGUAAUACGUAAGGGGCAAGCGUUAUCCGGAAUUACUGGGUGUAAAGGGAUCGUAGACGGUUAAACAAGUCUGAAGUGAAAUGCCGGGGCUCAACCCCGGAGCUGCUUUGGGAACUGUAGAACUGGAGUGUCGGAGGGGUAAGCGGAAUUCCCAGUGUAGCGGUGAAAUGCGUAGAUAUUGGGAGGAACACUGGCGGCGAAGGCGGCUUACUGGACGACAACUGACGUUGAGGCUCGAAGGCGUGGGUAGCAAACUGGAUUAGAUACCCCUGUAGUCCCUGUCUCUUAUAC
rnacentral:rRNA from 1 species